CCAAGUCUGUAUUAAGACAGCUGUACCAGGUCCUGGAUUCUCAAGACAAAGGUGCAAUGGAGGAGAUGUCAGCUCAAAAAGGCAGCCAAUGGGAGUGGAGAAUUAAUCCAGCACAUCAGAACAUGUGACUUCACAAGCUAUCCUUCUAAAAGACUCAGAGAGAUGCAGCAUCAUGUCAACAGGUUCUGGAGAUCAUGGAGCCAGCUUUGCAGCCCAAACUUAAUUGUGAGAAGCAAAUGGCACACGUCACAUCUAAAUGUCACAGCUGGUGAUAAUUGUUUGGCUAUGUGACCAAAAUGUGGUGCAGGGCCAAUUCAAGUUAGGACGGGUUGUGAGUGUUAACCCAGAUGCUAAGUGCAUUGUGGGGGAUGUGAAUGUCAAAGUGGUCCAAGGCUCCUGCCUUCCUGUGACAAGACUCAUACCAAUCCAGCCUUUGUCUGGAGUCCUGAAAGAACCUGCACAAACUACUGUCCUGCACAGAGACGUUAGCAGAGUGGUUGAAUUUCCAUAAAACAACCACAGAAGUUCUAUACUUCUUCAUGCAGGAAAAAGCAACAAUAAAGGCAGAGGUGUGUUGGUUCUGACUGUUCUGAGCGCACACAAUGGACCUGCAGCUGGUUCUGAGAUGGUAGAGAACUCCUGCUGUUGCUGUGGAGAGGAAAUGAUGAUCAUCCCAAAAUGUUCUGUUCUGCAGCGCUGCAGCUCCAUCCUCCACAUGCAGACGCUGUAAAUUCAUGAGUUUAGAUGGACGCUGAUCAGAUUAUGGAUCAUAAACCAGCCUUCUCAGUUUAAUCCUGAUGGUCAUAAUCUGUUGAUUAAGGUUUAAUUCUGAGUUAAGGUACUGUAUGGGAGAGAGGAGGAAGGCCUUAAAGUAACUUUUCAAGAAUCAAGAGUCUUUAUUGUUUUUAUGUAACCAUAAUGAAAUAUUGGUGAGACACUCAGAAUGAUAAGAGGCAGACCCAAAUUAAAAACACUUACAGAAAAAUGAGACAUAAGCAUUCCUAAAGGACACUCUCAAAAAUGUUAAAACUAUCAGAAAAAUAAAAAGUAUUAAAUAUCUAAAACCCUUUUUGACUUCAAAUUCUGAAAAACUUACAGAAUAAAUGUUCUAAAAUAUGCAGAAGGACAAAUGUAGCAUGUAGUAUUUACAUAAAUGCAGCUUGUGCUGAAACAGUCUAUAAAUGGCUGCUGGUUUAUUUAAUAUUCAGAAGUGCUGCUUUUGCUCUGCUUUCAUUGUUAGGACCAAUUAUUUCUCCAAGGUGCACAAUGGUGAGAUUCAGCCAAAGCACAUUUAACAGCGGUUAUCUCCUCUGUGAAGAAAAGUCAAACUAAGGGGUUUUUGUGGUCUCCACAGAUGAGUUCAGACUUUCAGGAUGAAAGCUGAAGACGUCUCCCUCUGCUGCUGUUCCUGCAUCCGUCUCUAAGGCUCCAAGCCCACUUCCUGUUGCUGGUUCUGCCCGUACGCUCUGUGUUCCCUCAUCAUGUUCAGGAUGAAAUGUGACUCUGCAUGCCGUGCUGGCCUUUAAAUGUUUACCUCUGAGGUUCUGGACUAGUCCAAAAAGAAAACCUAUUUCUAUUUAUGUAAACAUGAAGUAAUAUACUGAGGAAAAAUAAAGUCUUUUUCUGUAAGAA